rnacentral:antisense_RNA from 1 species
CUUGGCCGAGCCCAGCCACAGCGGCGACUCCCGGUCCUGGCCGUAGGUGGCCAGCAGCGCGUGCGCCUC